rnacentral:lncRNA from 1 species
CCUGGGAUUCCAGCAGGCAGAGGCUGACAUACAAGCUUAGUUGUUGCCAUGUUUCUUCGUAAUAGCUUCCCUCCUGAAUUAAACCCAACCACAAAACGUGGCAGAAAUGGACCACCAGCAGAAGAUGACACAUGUGAAUCCUGAGGACUGGUCUCUUCCAGAGAGAAAGCCUAGGACGAGGUGGAGGCUCCCACCAUUUCUUCGAGGGAGCACACAUUUCCUCACCUUGAUGUCAGCACCAGGAGGCUGACAGUGACAUCCUGUGUGGUGGGCCCGGGAGAACCAGAUGCCAUCACUCUCCCUCUGCAGCACAUCCAGAUCUUUCGCAGCUCAUCUCUUCCCGUCCUCCAGGGCCAGGUGGCCAUCAGAGGCCCCUCCUGCCAUGUGGUAUGCAGCUGUGGUGAACAGUCCUGGCCUGCUCCCGACUUCAGUUUUAAGCGUCUCUUCACUCACAUGGUGUGUGUUUGGCUUGAAAUAUAAAUGCACUGCUAUGUUAAACUAGUGUCCACAUCCUCUUGACAUUUCCAUUGCCUAAAGACACAGAGGCCUCCCUGGACAUUGCAUCCAUUUUCUCACAAGGUCCAGCAGUUCCUCACUAGUGGGUGGGCCAUCUUCCCUGAGGACCUGGCAGGCAGGAAGGAGACAUCCUCCUGCUGGGGAAGGUGUCCUGGUAGAAGACAGGAGGUGAUGGGGCCCAAGUUGGGAAGAAGCUGCCCCACUCCAGGGGUAUGAGGGCGGAUGUGACAUGAGGAGCAAGUGAGGGGAAACGAGGCUGCAGAGACACAGGACGAGGGCGAGCAGGCUCCACCAGCAGAGCACAUGGAGCUCUCUAGACACUUCCAUAAAGACAGGGCCAGGGUGGCUGCUGAAGACCAACUUCCAAGACUGAAAAAGUACACGUCGCACAGACAGAGGUGGCCUCUGCAAAACUGUGAUAUGGCAAGGCCUGGCCUCUGCACCCUCCCCAGAUCUCCCAGCAGCCUUUCUGUCCACGUGGGACACAUCCUGAGGACGCCCCUGGGAGUC